UGCAUAUCCAAAAAAGCGGAGGAAAAGAAACCAACUGGGAUUACCUUAGUAACGGCGAGUGAAGCGGUAAAAGCUCAAAUUUGAAAUCUGGUACUUUCAGUGCCCGAGUUGUAAUUUGUAGAAUUUGUCUUUGAUUAGGUCCUUGUCUAUGUUCCUUGGAACAGGACGUCAUAGAGGGUGAGAAUCCCGUUUGGCGAGGAUACCUUUUCUCUGUAAGACUUUUUCGAAGAGUCGAGUUGUUUGGGAAUGCAGCUCAAAGUGGGUGGUAAAUUCCAUCUAAAGCUAAAUAUUGGCGAGAGACCGAUAGCGAACAAGUACAGUGAUGGAAAGAUGAAAAGAACUUUGAAAAGAGAGUGAAAAAGUACGUGAAAUUGUUGAAAGGGAAGGGCAUUUGAUCAGACAUGGUGUUUUUUUAAUGUGCAAGUCUCUCGUGGACAUGUGCCUCUGGAAAUUAACACUGGGCCAACAUCAGUUCUGGCGGCAGGAUAAAUCAUUAAGAAUGUAGCUACCUCGGUAGUGUUAUAGCUUUUUGGAAUACUGCCAGCUGGGAUUGAGGACUGUGC
rnacentral:rRNA from 2 species